rnacentral:sRNA from 1 species
GGAAUCAUCACAGCUCAAAUGUAAAACACAAGAGAAGACGAAGAACAGAACCAAAAGUGUAGAUUACACUGAUCAUUCUCUCAUUUGGCCCUAUUGGUGGGUGUGUUUCACUGGUGGCUGGCAUCCUUAAACACGACCUAACAGAUGACUGUCAGCCCAAGAACUGUCUGUUACCAACAGUUGAUACCCAGUUAUAUUAUGAUAAUUACCAAAAGGUUAGUCCAUACAUUGCCAUGGAAUGUUGAAUGAAGAUAAGGAGCUAGGCUAAAGCUCUGCUGAAUGAUGGAAUCUUGAAUGGAGAUAGCAAGCUAGACUAAAGCUCGGCUGAAUGAUAGAAUGCUUGUUAAAGAUAUAAUAAGUAAACUCUGUGUCAAUAAAAAAUUGUAAAAAUUGUUUUUAGCUUU